rnacentral:rRNA from 1 species
GACGAACGCUGGCGGCGUGCUUAACACAUGCAAGUCGAACGGAAAGGCCCUGCUUUUGUGGGGUGCUCGAGUGGCGAACGGGUGAGUAACACGUGAGUAACCUGCCCUUGACUUUGGGAUAACUUCAGGAAACUGGGGCUAAUACCGGAUAGGAGCUCCUGAUGCACGGUGGGGGUUGGAAAGUUUCGGCGGUUGGGGAUGGACUCGCGGCUUAUCAGCUUGUUGGUGGGGUAGUGGCUUACCAAGGCUUUGACGGGUAGCCGGCCUGAGAGGGUGACCGGCCACAAGGGGACUGCGAUACGGCCCAGACUCCUACGGGAGGCAGCGGUGGAGAAUAUUGCGCAAUGGGCGGAAGCCUGAUGCAGCAGCGCCGCGUGCGGGAUGACGGCCUUCGGGUUGUGAACCGCUUUCGCCUGUGACGAAGCGUGAGUGACGGUAAUGGGUAAAAAAGCACCGGCUAACUACGUG